CCCUUAGAUGUUCUGGGCUGCACGCGUGCUACAAUGGCGCUUGCAACAAGUCUUGCCAACCCGAUAGGGUGAGCGGAUCUUUGAAGAGGCGUCGUGAUCGGGACAGUUGAUUGCAAUUAUUCGACUCGAACGAGGAAUUCCUUGUAAUCGCGAUUCAUCAUAUCGCGCUGAAUACGUCCCUGCCCUUUGUACACACCGCCCGUCGCUCCUACCGAUUGAGCGAUCCGGUGAAUGUUUUGGACUGGCGUCAGAGGCGGUUCGCUCCUGACACUACGAAAUUUUGUAAACCUUAUCGCUUAGAGGAAGGAAAAGUCGUAACA
rnacentral:rRNA from 1 species